UGUGAUUGGAGACUUUUACCGU
rnacentral:miRNA from 1 species